CCUACGGGAGGCAGCAGUGGGGAAUAUUGGACAAUGGGCGAAAGCCUGAUCCAGCAAUGCCGCGUGAGUGAUGAAGGCCUUAGGGUCGUAAAGCUCUUUUACCAGGGAUGAUAAUGACAGUACCUGGAGAAUAAGCUCCGGCUAACUCCGUGCCAGCAGCCGCGGUAAUACGGAGGGAGCUAGCGUUGUUCGGAAUUACUGGGCGUAAAGCGUACGUAGGCGGUUAUUCAAGUCAGAGGUGAAAGCCCGGGGCUCAACCCCGGAACGGCCUUUGAAACUAGAUAGCUAGAGUCUUGGAGAGGUCAGUGGAAUUCCGAGUGUAGAGGUGAAAUUCGUAGAUAUUCGGAAGAACACCAGUGGCGAAGGCGACUGACUGGACAAGUACUGACGCUGAGGUACGAAAGCGUGGGGAGCAAACAGGAUUAGAUACCCUGGUAGUCCACGCCGUAAACGAUGAUAACUAGCUGUCCGGGUACUUGGUAUCUGGGUGGCGCAGCUACGACAUUAAGUUAUCCGUCCGUCGGGUAGGUACGGUCGCGAAGAAUUAAAACUAACAAAGAAGUUAGACGGACGUGAGACGUAGCCGAACGACGACGACGAGGGAGGUAGG
rnacentral:rRNA from 1 species